rnacentral:misc_RNA from 1 species
GAACGCACAUUGCGCCUUCUGGUAUUCCGAAGAGCAUGCCUGUUUGAGUGUCAUGAAAAUAUCAACCUUGACUUGGGUUUUGUGCUCUAGUCUUGGCUUGGAAUUGGGUGCUUGCCGCUUUUACGAGCGGCUCACCUUAAAUGUAUUAGCUGGAUCUGUCUUUGAGACUUGGUUUGACUUGGCGUAAUAAGUAUUUCGCUAAGGACAUUCUUCGGAGUGGCCUCGUUUCUAGGACGCUUGUCCGCUUCCCAAUACAAGUUCCACCUCGUGGACAUGACUUUUUUAUUAUCUGGCCUCAAAUCAGGUAGGACUACCCGCUGAACUUAAG